UACGUAGGGGGCUAGCGUUGUCCGGAAUCAUUGGGCGUAAAGAGCGUGUAGGCGGCCCGGUAAGUCCGCUGUGAAAGUCGGGGGCUCAACCCUCGAAUGCCGGUGGAUACUGUCGGGCUAGAGUGCGGAAGAGGCGAGUGGAAUUCCUGGUGUAGCGGUGAAAUGCGCAGAUAUCAGGAGGAACACCUAUGGCGAAGGCAGCUCUCUGGGACGGUACUGACGCUGAGACGCGAAAGCGUGGGGAGCGAACAGG
rnacentral:rRNA from 1 species